UAGAAUGGCCUGGAAUGUUUUCAUUCUGU
rnacentral:piRNA from 1 species